rnacentral:rRNA from 1 species
GAUGAACGCUGACAGAAUGCUUAACACAUGCAAGUCGAUGGGGAAGUGGUGCUUGCACCAUGGCAACCACGGCGGACGGGUGAGUAACGCGUAAGGGACUUACCUGCAGGACUGGGAUAACAGGGGGAAACUCCUGACAAGACCGGAUAAUGUCAUGGAGCUGCAUGGCUUUAUGAUGAAAGGAGACGCCUGCGGAGAGCCUUGCGUCCUAUUAGCUAGUUGGUGAGGUAAUGGCUCACCAAGGCGAAGAUAGGUAGCCGGCCUGAGAGGGUGGACGGCCACAAGGGGACUGAGAUACGGCCCUUACUCCUACGGGAGGCAGCAGUGGGGAAUAUUGGACAAUGGGGGCAACCCUGAUCCAGCAAUUCUGUGUGCACGAAGAAGGUUUUCGGAUUGUAAAGUGCUUUCAGCAGGGAAGAAGUAAGUGACGGUACCUGCAGAAGAAGCGACGGCUAAAUACGUG